rnacentral:lncRNA from 10 species
CACAGAUUUCUCUGCAGCAUGAGGGCACUGUGGGAUGAUAGGGGAAGGGGUAGCAUUGACAGUUGAAGACUGUCUUUCUUUCCCUCUCCAGUGCCUCUUUGAAAAAUAUGAAGUCAAAACCAGGACUAUGGUACCAUUGUUCCCUUCCAAUUCCUUCCUUGUGUAGUCCAUCACUGAAGAAAAGAAGUACUGGAUAUCAAACUAAUUUGAUAAUAAUAAAACUUAUUUUGUCUACCUUGAAUACAGAGAUCUUGCUAGAACAGGUUAAUCCAGAUAGAAUGCAUAUCUUAACAUGUCUAGAGUCCUAGGCCACGGGGUGUGAGGAAGUUGCUAAAAGAAAG